AGAAUUCUGCGCGGCCAGUCUGUGAGUGCAGAGAAAAACACAAAAACAUUUUUUCUUUCGGUUUUUUCUGCACUGCAAUGGCUCUAUGAUUAAUUCACCCUUACUGAUGAAAAAAGUAUCUACUAUAUCCCUUUCCCAGAUCGUAUUCGAUAUGGCAGUUGGAAGGUUAAACUCAAUGCUCUGAAAGAGCCAAAUGCUCUCAAAUGGGAGGAUGUUUCACUUUUAAGCCAAAGUAAGAUCCCUAAGGCUUGAUAUAUUCGAUAGUCUUCUGAAUACGUCAGAAAUUUUUUUUUUUUUUCAACGUUUAUUUAUUUUUGGGACAGAGAGAGACAGAGCAUGAACGGGGGAGGGGCAGAGAGAGAGGGAGACACAGAAUCGGAAACAGGCUCCAGGCUCUGAGCCGUCAGCCCAGAGCCCGACGCGGGGCUCGAACUCACGGACCGCGAGAUCGUGACCUGGCUGAAGUCGGACGCCCAACCGACUGCGCCACCCAGGCGCCCCUGAAUACGUCAGAAAUUUAAGGGGCCCAUUAAGUCGCACUCCUGUUCCUUGCUCAACAUAGACAUAGGAAUGGGGCGGAUCAAGAUUUUUAAGUCACCUUUAGUAUUGAUAAGGCCUAUAUUAGAAGACAAACUUUGGUAGCAAGGCCAAAUGGGUUCCCAAAGAGUGCUGCAGAAUAUAAUUCCCCACCCAGUCAUAGGCAAGGCAGGAAAACUUCAGGUCUUGCCCACACAAGCAAAGUCUUUACUGCUGAACUCUUGAGCAGGUGAAAAUACGUGCUUCAUGCAUGUGGACAGAUCCCAGAUGAGGAGACAUGAGGGCUGAGGUGCCUUCCUUAGCUGCUUCUCCCCAGUUCAGAGGAUAAAUCUGUCCUCAUCCCAGGCUGGGAAGAGUUCCAACAACACUUAAAACACAUACAAACAGACAAACCAAAACAACAACAACAACAGACAAACCAGACUGAGCCCUGGUGCAUCCACCCAUUAUCCCCUUUCGGGUGGCAGGACCCAUGGUGGGAGCCAUCUAUGCGAAAAGGGGAUCCAGUUGUCUCUCCAGGAAUGCAUUGGUGCCCAAACCCAACUUCUGGGACUGGGAGCCCUCGUUGGAGCUGUUGACACUGAUCUGCACAGCUUCUUGCGGGAGACCAGGUCCGCGUCUCCCUGCUCCCCCCAGAGCCUCUGUACCCCUACGCUGUGGGGAGAACGCAGGAGGACCGGGCUCCAUCCCCGCUCUGUCCUCCAGGUGGCAGAAGCACUAUCCGGACUGUCUGGUGCCUGGGGCAGCCUCAGGCCAAGCCAAAGAUAACAUUGUGUCCGUGCACAGGAACACACUGUGCUUUUUUAGGUUCCCAGGAAACCAAAUCGCGGUGAAGGCCAACAGUGUUCUUAGACCACGGGUAGCUCACAUUUCGGGUUAAGAAGAACAAAUAUGAGGCCCCAGGACUUCCUGCCAUCAAGGGCUCAAGAGCCCCCUCUUAGGUCCCCUCUGAUCCUCUGCUAACCAGGUACUUUCAAGCCCUGUUUACUCAGCGCAGACCUCCUUGAGCACCGUAACUGAAGCACUCAGUGUAGAAAGCUGCUCCAGUGGAUCUGGAGAGAGAAUUAAGGAGUUGCAAAGAGCUUCCUGCCCUGACCCCACUGGCUCUCUUCCUUGGGGUAGCCUCCCUCCCCACCAGGCCCAUCCUAGGAUAGUGGGACAGAAUGCAACCCUCUCACCCCACGGUCAGCAACUGGAGCCACACGUAUGCCAUUGCCUCCUUGAUAUUUCUUCCCGGGUGUCUCACAGGCACACAUCCCACCUGCAUCCCAAGCCUCUUCCCCGUCUAUGUAAAGGCAGACCUGCCCAGCCAGAUGUGCAAGCCGGAAAGGAGUCACUCCUGCUAGCUCAGCCUACAUCUGAGUCAUUGCCAACCCAUUUCCAUGCUGCCCCCUAAUUAUCUCUUGAGCCCCCGCUACUAUCCUGCUUAGCGCCACCGCCAUCUCUUGUCCUACGCUUGUGCCUGCAUUCCCUCCCACCCUGUCUCCGGGUCAGAUCUGCACUGCGGUUAGAAUGGUUUCUUCAGAAUGCAAAACUUGUCAUGUCACUUCUCCCCUUUAAAGUCUUCUGAUAGCCUCCUCUUGCUCCUGGGACAGAAAUCAAGACUCUAGAGGGGCUCCCUAGACCUUAAUCUUGCCCUUGCUGCAUCUCUGGCCUCUUGUCCGGCUCUGGUCCGCUUGGCCUCCCUCUGUAUUCCAGUCUCCCAGACACCAUUUCCCCUGCCACCAAAGGGCUUCUCCAGCGUCUCCUGUGGAAGUCCUGUUCUUCCCCUCGGCUAUGUGUCUCGCAGGCAGGGUGAUGCCACUAGGGUGGGCUUUGGUGCCCAAAGGACUUACCUCUGGAAUUGCUCCACGAAGACCCCGCUGACUUUCCCAGAGACAUUUCAUGGACUUAACUACUUUAACUACUUUAGGAAGUCUCCUCCCCCAAACUGCCAAGGCCACCUCCCUUUGGGGGAAUUUGAUGGAGCUAAGGAGGGUUCUCCUGGUUCUUACUCUGCUUGGGGAAGAGUGCAGACUGAGGUCCGUAAUGUGAACCAGAAACUCUUGGCUUUCUCUCACUCUGUCUCUGCCCUUUUCUCUUUGUCUCCCUCUCUUUUCUUUUCUUUCUUUCCUUAUUUUUUUUUUUUUUAACUCUUCAACCAACCCCACUGCUAAGGCAUUUUUUCCUGUCAGGGGAAAUGCAAACCAAACCCCCUGCUUAGGAGCUGGCUGUGAAAAACCAGGUCGGCAUGACCGAGUGGUCCCUGGGCCAGCACGCCAAGCCCACAGAACUGACGGGACUUGGUCUGAUGCACACUAUUUUGUAGAAAGGUAUCUGUUUGUGCCUUUCGGAGUACAUAGGUCUCCCAUAGUGUGUGUGUAUCCAUAGCAUGUGUUUGCGUAUGUAAUGUGUGUAUGCACAUGCACACGUGUGUGUGUGUGUGUUGGGGAUCUGGGUAGGGACUCGCCCUGUCUUCCACAGACAGCCUUUCUCCCUUCUCCAGCUACUGAGGUCUCUGUAAGAGAUCCUGGGUAGUUAGUGACCAUCUUUCCUGAGGUGGCCAUGGGAACGCACCUUGUGGACCUCCAACUACGGGGAGCAAAAUUGACCCUCACUGCUGUGACCUGAGGUCCGGCUCCUGUUUGCCCUGAGGUCGUUCUUCAGGUUAGUCCUAGCCAACAGCUGUAGACAGCAGGGAAACCAAGGCAGGCCUGUGCCUGGGUGACACAGGACUCCUCUGAUAGCUGAUUUUCACUCAAGGCCCCCCUGAGCACCUGGCUGAACCUUUGAAGACUGCAGGGCAAUCUAGGAGUGUCCAUCCAAGCCGCUUGCCCCCUUUGCUCUAUUUGGGUCAAACUUGCAUUGCCACUCUCAGCUAUGCCAAUGCCCUAUACACAGUGUCUCACAGUCAUCUCCCUUUUUUGCAUCCUGGCAUGUCUUAUCCCACUUUAGCAUCUGCUUCUUGGAUAAUCCAGAGUAACACAUCCUUUUACCCAUCUCCUCUGGAAGAGCAGCCCAUUGAGUUACAGCAAAUUCUUCUGCUGUGUUUCUGUAGGCUGUCUAGACCUUGAGACAAGAAAGGCUGAAAAACGCUAAAAACGACUUAUAAAGAGUGCAUAGACAUUUAGGUGGACCACAUAUGCUGCAUUUUUUAUGUAAACUAGACAAUGGCAUGUUUCUAAAAAUGCUCUUGGAAAGGAGUGAAACAGCUCAGUGUGCUGGGGUCCAUAGGCAGUCCUUAGUCCCCCUGACUUUCUUCUUGACUUUGAGAAGCCUUAUAUAGUGACAAAUCCAUCAGUGACUGCAGCAAGGUCAAAGUUUUGGGCAUGGAGAGCAGGGCCACCUUAGCAUUUAAUUCCAGGUUCUGAAUACUCUUGGUCUUGUGGAUAGAGACAGAAGCCGAAAGGGAAGGCUGCAUAUUCCAAAUGGAAGGGAGGAAACCAGUGAGGGAGCGAACAAAGCAUCUCUUCUGAAGUGGGGUUGCCAAGGCUGUGGGAGAGGAGGAUAAAGUCAAUGACUCCACCAACCACUGAUAGGAUGGUAUCAUAGACAUGUGUCUGAUGUUUCUUGUCAUUUUGUGUUCCUACAUGUUCAUAUAAAUGAAGUGCCUUUAACCUGGGAAGUGACUGAUCUGUGAUUCUAACCAGAAAGUGUUUAUUGUUAAAAGUAACCACAGCAUUUAGUGAAUACUUCUACAUUGCCGCACAUUAUGUCAAGAGCUUCACACACAGUCAUUGAACUUUCAAUUUAUAGAAGAGGAAAUGAGUGGUGGGGUAGAUUACACUAAAGAUGCAAGUGUGUCCCCUCAGAUUUUUUUCAAAAUAGAUUUAUUUUCAAUGAUCGAAUCGACAAUUGGAUCAACUAAUCAAGGGUUCUGAGAAGCGAACCACCCCGGACACUUCUGCAGCAGGUAGAGUUUAAAAAGCUGCCCUGCUGUUACACAGCUAGUAAUGACAGAAGCAAGAUUCAUAUGCAAAAUCGUUAAACUCUGAAGAUUUCUGUCCCUUGGAACAAUAACAGUGAGCACGUAAUGCUAGAGUUUAAUGCUUGAGAAACUAAUGACAACAGACUACAUGGUUAAAGAGUAAUUCUAUAUGAGAAAUUACUGUGGAUUUGAACCCUAGUUCUAGUUCAGUGGUCCAACGACCUUGACAAACAGCUUUCUCUGGGGAGGAAAAAACCUAUCUUCUUAAAAGUACAAAAGGACAAUGAUAUUGAAAAAGCACUGCCUUCUGUCAAAAGCAAUAGGAGGACUAACAAAGAAAAUGAGGUGACUCUUAUCAAUAUGGCAUACAAUGUCAUUGUCUCAAUCAAGCGGAUACCCCUCCAGCAUUCCCAUGGGUGUAGGAAACAUUUCACCACGGCUGGGUUUGUUCUCCUUGCUUCCUUACGGCCAUAGAAAUUCCAAGUUGCAGACUGAACUAACUUGAAAAAAAAAAUCCUUACUUCUUUGAAAAUUAUUCACUCUUUUCCGCCUGUUUUCUCCCUGAGAAAUAUUUUUGAACAGUGUUUGCUCCCCCCUAUUUAUAGCUUUCCACUUUUGGCAGGUAUGGGAGAGUUUAUAAGUGGUUUGUUUUCUUUGCUGUAUCCAGUGUUGAUUCAAGUCGCUUUAGCCACUGGAACAAUUGGAAGCACUUUCAAGGAAGGUUGAAAUCUGUUGAUGACUGAUAACAUUGUGAAAUCUAGAUCAUCUCAAUCAAGAUUUCUUUGGGGGGUUCAGGUCAGCUAGCAAAUCUUAGGAGUGCCAUGAUUUGAAUAAUUAUCUUUACUUCUUUGUCAGUGAUUGUUUUGGAGGAAGUUUUCCCCUUGACAUAGGUAGGAGGAGUGUCUCCUGAACAGUUUCUCAGUUGUUGGUAACUCUGGGUUGGACUCUUAGUUUGAGGGCUAGAUAAGAAUGCAUGUGGCACUCCAUAUCUGAGCUCUGGCCUGUGAGGGACCUUCCUUAGGAACCUAUGUCUAACAUUUGGGUUUUAACCAAGUUUCACAUGCUGACCAGAAGCAAACAUUAGUGGUUCUUUUGUUUAGGAGAGAUGCCUGGAAUUUCUGGGUUUUGUUUCAUAAAUGAUUGAACUAAAUAAAUACAUUUGAAAGCCAGUAGAAUUAUAGGCAUCUUCCCCUCCCAUCUCGCAUGUUUUUAUGGGUGGUAUGGUUGUAUUUUGGGUUUUUUUUUUCUGGAUUUUUCCACCCUUUGCCUCCCUAUAAUUUGUGGGCCUUAAGAAAAGUCAUGGUUGGCCCUGUAAAUGUACAGGGAGAGCUUAUUUGGGGUCAUCUCACUUAUUCUUGUCGCCUGGUCCUUGUCUGCGGUGCUAUAGGGAGGGGGGCACAAAUAAUAAAGAACCUCAGCACAGAGAGAUGGAUUUCUAACUCCAAAAACACCAGAAAAAAACUGCAGUGUUUCUGAGAUUCAGUCACUCUGGGAAAGUCAGCCUCACUGGGGACAGGAGCACAAUGACGUGGUUGCCUGCUUGUCAUCUGAUCCAGGAGAAGUUUGGAUAGGGUAGAAACAUCAUAGCUCACAAAGACUCUUCUGAGAAUACGAGGCCCUUGAAUAGCUCUUCCCUAUCCAGUUGGGGCUGCAGAAAAGGCAACAUCCUCACCUACACCUGUCAGGCCAGGAACUUUCCCCAGUUUUACUUGAGUAAGGGACUUUCUCCAAGAUCACUCAGUGAGGUUCAGUCAAUUCUAGAAAAAGAUACCCACCACCCNNNNNNNNNNNNNNCCCCCCCCCCCCCCCCGCCAAUCCCCUCACCCCAUCCUCUAACUGGCAGAUCAGUUAUUUCUUUGAUCAUCACUGUGAUUUACAGCCCCUCCUCUUUUUAAAAUGUGCUAAGUACUUGAACAAAGUCUUUUAACAGGUUUCAUUAUGAAAAAUUCAGAUAUAUACAAAAGUAAAAAGAAUAAUAUACUGAACUCCACAUGCCAUCACUCAGAUUGAGCAGUUAUCAAGAGUUUUACCAUAAGAGUUGCUCCCUUACUUUCCUUCUUUUAGAGGGAAUCCCAGACGUCAGUGAUAUCUCCUCUUAUAUUUCUUACACAGCUCCAGGCCCUGUAGAUAUUUCCAUGAGUAGCCAUGCCAUUUUCCCAUUCAUGAAAUUCCUUCUAUCAUGUCCCACACACUUAGAUCAACUGCCCAGUUGUCCCAAAGGAGUCUAUUUACAGUUGAUUUGAUUGAACAAGGAUCCUACCAGCGGCAUCUUAUUGCCUUACAUAUCUUCCCUCUGUCUUUAUCUUCUACUUCCCUGCCACAAACUUUUUGGAGGAACCAAGUCAAUUGUCUAGGUGGUCAUUAUUUUCCCACAAUUACAUGUAUUAUUUGAGAACUGAGAGUUAGAAAACCUCUCCCACCAAAACUCUUACGGCAACCAAUAAAGACCAUUAAGUUUCUGGAUUGCAAACAUUGUCGAUGUAUAAACCAUAUGUAGGUAAUGAUGAUAGACCUCCUCUCCCAAAUAAGAAUUUCCUUAGAUGUCAAAAUAGCUUAGUAAUAAGGGUUAUCAUAUAAACCACUUAAUGUGAUUUAGGUAUAAUUCUUUUCUUAGAGAUACAAAGUAAAGUAGCAGGACAAGAACUUAUUUUUGAGGUACUAGGUUGAUACUAGAUGGGAGUAAACACCAAUAAAAGUGUCUGGGCUAUGCUAGGAGACACAGUCCAUAGUUGCCUCGUGUUCAUUCCUGGACAAAUCCCUCAUCCCCUAUUUUUCUAUCACUGAGUUUUAAAAUCAGCUUUAUUGAGGUAACCUACAAUAAAUAAUCAAGUGCAUAUAUUUAAAGUCUACAGUUUGAUACUUUUUGAAGUAUGAAUAUACCCAUGAAACCAUCAUCACAAUUAAUAUAAUGAUCUUAUAACUCAACUCUAAAUUUCCUUGUGCCCCAUAGUAAUUCCUCCCUCCUGUCCCCAUUCACACCUCCUGCCUACCCCAGACAACCACGGAUCUGCUUUCUGUCACUGUAGAUUAGUUUGCAUUUUCCAGAAAGUUGUAUAAAUGGAAUCAGACAGCAUGUACUCUUGUCUGGCUUCUUUCAUUGAGCAUAAUUAUUUUGUGAUUCAUCAUUGUUGUCUGGAGUAUCAGUAGCUCAUUCUGUUUUAUUGCUGACUAGUAAUCCACUGUGUUUAUUCCUGAUUAACCACGGUUAAGAAUUUAGGAGUCCCCUUAACUGGAUCACUCCUAAGUCUUUGGUGACUUCAGUACUUCCGAUGACACACUGGCCUUUCAAGCCUGGCAAAUAACACUUCCUCUAUAAACCUACUCCUGAGAGAAUAAAUCCUUGAAUUAUCAUUUCAUUCUUGAACCUCCGUGAUCCCGGUUCAGACCUGAAGUGUCACUUGUCCUCUUCCAAUUCUAUAAUUAUACGAUCAUAUAGCGGGGGUGGGGGUGGGGGUGGGGGAAGAGUGGUGUCAAUUUAAUAAAUCAUAAUGACACCACUUUUCGCUUAAAGGUAACACUGAAAUCCCUUUACCCACUAAUCUUCUGAAUGCUGUCUUGAGCUGUGAAAUAUUUGAAGGCUCCUGUCUCUUUAGUCACUGUACUAUAAAUCCUUUCACCUUUUUAAGGACUAAAUAGUGACUGAAGUGAGAAUGGUUUUCUUUAAAUCUUACGCAGAGGCUGUUGUUGCUGUUUAUGACUCAUUAUUAUCUAAGAUGUAUUUAGCAUCUUCCAAGGUGGUUUGUAAGCACAGGCUCAGAAUGUUGAUCUGAUAACCACGCGACAUAUCCACAGAGAAGAGUUCCAGAAAGGGAAGGUGACCAAAAUCACGGUGAGAAGAGAAAGAAUGAGAAGAAACCCUGUUUCCCAUCUUGCUCCUAAUCCAGAUUAUAGAAUGCAAAUGAUGUCCCCGAGCUAUCUCCCAUCCCCCAUCCUAUGGUGAUUCAGCAAGGACAGGAUGUCUUUUUACUAGAAAAGCUUAUCUUUCCCAAGAAAGCAGUUCUGAUUUGCUUGGCACAUACUGGUGUGAGCAUUCAGCCUUCUUCCUUAAAGAGUCAAAGGAGAGUGUGAGGAGGGUGUGGCAGGGGAUCCAGGGUCACAAUUGCCAUUUUAUUUCUUCCUAGAAUAACAUAUUCUUUGCUGGUUGCCAACAUGCUUAUUUUUAUGUAGAUUUGACCUUGGCUGUAACCUUGAAUGACCAAAAUAGAAGAAAAGAACUAUAAGCUACUUCAAAAAGCUUGACCUUAAAAGUAUAUAAAAAUAUAAGACAAAGGCAGGAAGACAAAGCAGGCCCCAGCUUUGAGCAAAGAACCACUGAGCUUCUUGGGUCUAGUUAAAAUAUCAGCUUUGUGCAUAUUAGAUUCCAUCCUGUGUUUGAUUAUUUCUGCAUUGAGGGCUGCCUUUAUCGAUUGGUAGAGUGGAAUGUUCAAGAGCAUUAUAUUACAAUCUGUCUCCAAAUGGCUUUUCAGAAAGAAAUUUCCUGUAACUCAGGGGCAGAAAUUAUGCAGGGAACACAGGGGAGAGACUAGACGGCUGAAUCUCACCCGGACUUGUGCACGUGGGAGUGAUGGGGUGCACCCAGAGAGAACUCGUUUUGGUUUCUUAGUAUGGAGGGCCAGUCUCAGCUCUACCGUCGCGUCCCCACAAACUACGGGGGAUUCUAUAGAAAGCUGAACUGGUGGGGGUUGUUUGUGGCUUUGAGACUCACAACACUUUAUUUUUUUAUUUUUAAAAUUUUUUUUUUCAACGUUUAUUUAUUUUUUGGGGGAACAGAGAGAGACAGAGCAUGAACGGGGGAGGGGCAGAGAGAGAGGGAGACACAGAAUCGGAAGCAGGCUCCAGGCUCUGAGCCAUCAGCCCAGAGCCCGAUGCGGGGCUUGAACUCACGGACCGCGAGAUCAUGAUCUGGCUGAAGUCGGACGCUUAACCGACUGCGCCACCCAGGCGCCUCGACUCACAACACUUUAAAGAUGCCGUGGAGUCCGGGCCUCUUGGCUCAUAUUAUUUACCUCACUUAUUUCUCCUCUCUCAUCCGUCUUAUGUAUUCUUGCCUAAAUGUCACCUCCUCCAUGAAGCUUCCCAUCCUCUUUCACUGAUCACUUCUCUGAAAGGACGACAUUUUGUAUCACUGAAUGCCAUCUGUGUGUUCUUUUCUAAGUUACAUAUGCAUUUUACUUAUUUGUUUGUUUGUUUUGAACGUUUUUUAUUUUGAGAAAGAGUGUGUGUGUGGUGGAGGAGCAGAGGGUGAGGGAGAGAGAGGAACCCAAGCAGACUCCAUGCUGUCAGCAUGGAGCCCCACAUGGGGCUUGAUCCCAGGAACUGUGAGAUCAUGACCUGAGCCAGAAUCCAGAGUUGGAUGCUCAACCAACUGAACCGUCCAGGCGCCCCUGAUUUUAUAAUUAUUUUAUUUUAUAAUUAUGAUUUUAUAUAUUAAUUAAUAAAAAUUUAUAUAAUUUUAUAUAUAAUAUAUAUUAUAUAUAACUAUUCUUUUAUUUUAUAAUUAUUUUAUAAUUAGACUUCCAACCUAAAGUUAUGUCCUACAUGUUGUGUAUCUUCCAAAGAAAGUUAUAAUGCAUUGUGCAAAGAUCAAGUGUUCUUUCUUUGUGUGUGUGUGUGUGUGUGUGUGUGUGUGUAUGCACGUGCAUGUGUGUGUGUGUGCUUGUGUAUUUCACCCUAUACCCCUUGGUUCCUUUAGUCAAAAAUGUGGCUUAUCAAAAUAGUAAUGGGGCACCUGAGUGGCUCAGUCGGUUAAGCAUCUGACUCUUGAUUUCAGCUCAGGUCGUGAUCUCUCGGUUAUGAGAUUGAACACAGCAUCGGGAUCCACUCUGGGCCUUGAGUCUGCUUAAGAUUCUCUCUCUCCCUCUGCCCCCCUCCCCCACUAGUGCUCUCUUGCUCUCUCUCAAAAAAAAAGUAACAUUUGGAUUAUGUAUACCAGAAACUUCAACUCAACGCAGCUUAAAUAAUGAAAAGAAUUUAUUGGCUCAAUAUAACUAAAAAAAUCUGGUUGUAGAUCCGGUUUCAAGUGAGGUUCAAUCAGGUCGCUCAAGGAUGCAAAAAUGGACCUGAUUUUGUGUCUCUCUGCUUUACAUUUCAUGUGAUUGACUUAUCCUAUGAUUAUUUUGAUUUAAGGACAGCUGCUGGGACAAUAUGUACAUCUUGCCCACAUCCAGAAGACAGCAUCUAGCUUAACUCAUAUGUUUACUCCCAGUACCCAUAGAAGUGAGUAUCGAUAUAUAGAUUAGCUUAGCCCAACUGCUGUGAGACAAUGUGGAUCCCCAAACCAAAACUAGGAAGGUCAGAUUGGGAUAUAGGAGGUUGGGAGGCAACUGACAAUUGCUAUAAAACAUCAACCGAUUGUAUCAACUUCCCACAAUUUUCUAAAAUUGCAUCUCACAUAAAAAGGGUCUGUUCUUUGCCUUUGAGGUAUUUUUCUUCGAGAAAAAAAAGAAAAGGAACCAAUCAAUAACUUUGGCAUUAUCUGGCCUCCACAGAAUUUGACAAAUUCUUGGGUUGCCACAUCACUAAUAAGGUUUUCCAGGGAUUGUAGUGCCCUUUUAGUCACUGCCCAUCACCGUACUUUGAUCUUCAAAAAAGUGUUAAGAGGGAAAAGAAGAAAGAAGGGAAGAAGAGAGAGAAGGAAGGAAGGAAGGAAGGAAGGAAGGAAGGAAGGAAGGAAGGAAGGAAGGAAGGAAAGGAAAGGAAAGAAGGGAGGUAGUGAAGGGAAGAAAUGCACUUUAUAGGCAAACAUAGAAACUGUCCUUGGGCUUUGGUUCACUCAAGCUGGAGGACCCCUGCACCAAGUCGGUCACACUAGAGUGAAAGAACGUAAGAUCAUUUACUGGACUUACUUGCAAUUGCUCCUUUAGCCAGAUGAAUACCAGAUAAUUUUGAGUGGGAGACUGGGUUCCUACAGGUGACACUCCUCUCAAGUACGAAACCUGUUCCUUCUUGGCCCCCAUUUAAAAACCGUACAAAGAAUGGCCACAUGAUUUCCAUGUCUGUGUUUCUAAUUUUCUGACAAGACCUGGGGUGAUUCCUCUUCAGGAAGAAGCCACUGGUUGAUGACAGGACUAAAGUGUACUUUUACUCUAUGGGUCAAUUAAGCAAAACCUGCUUUUCAGACAUCUGCCCGCAGAAGCUAAGAGCAGGAGGGAAGACACACAAUGAAAAUGAUUAUUACUGCACUGAUUUGGAAUAAUCAUCUAGUCAUCUGAAAAAGUCUGUCUUUGACUUGAGUCAGUGCGUGAGGGGGUGGCAGGCAGAAAAGGAGAUAAAUCUCUUCAGGAGGGUCUCUGUAGACGAAAGAAAUGCCAUCACAUCCUUUGGCAUAAUACCAAUGACUUUUGAGUAUAAACUCCAGACUUUGAAACAGUACAAAUAGUCUUCACUUUGCCUGACCUCAAUACCUGAUAAUGUAAUUUGCAACACAUCAAAGAAAGAAAGGAAAUAGGAUGGAGUAAGAAAUCUUUUCUUUUACAAAAAUAUUUCUGCAGGGAUCAUUUAAAUAGGAAACACCCUGGGUCUUAUAAGAUAAUUCAAAUUUCCCUAAACUUUUGUGGACCCAUCUACUUUGUAAAUGGAGGUAGAGGUGAAAUCCAACGUUCAGGUGCUUGUCGAAGCUUGAAUAAAAAUGUGGAGUGCUUGCUUCAUCUGCCUAGAAGUCUUCAGUUUGACGAGAUCUUAAAGACAGUUUUCUUUAGUGCCUUGUGCAAAUUACCUUCUUGAAAGAGAUCCGGAAGAUAGGAAGAGUUCCUGCUUUCUGGGAAGAAUCAUAUUAGAUGAAAGAGGCACAGACUUUACUAAACCCAAAAAUGAAGUUUGGCGACACAUUGUUCCACCUUCUCCAAGACCUGUCUUGACAGGAAGUGGCCCCUGUCUAGUUCUGUCGUUCAUCAGGUGAGGGGUUCUAUUUGCUGGUCUCAAGAGGCUCUUCAAGCCCUGUCGGUCUGUGUGCCCGGGACGGCCAAGCAAAAAUCAAGGAUGACACAACACUUGCGUUCAGCUGGUGUGUCCUCGCCAAGUGUGCCUCCCAAACACUGACUUGUCCCUGCACAGUCCAUAUCCCACACUCUGAACAUUGUUCAUGGCAUUGGAGUGCCUGCUACCUACUUUCCCCACCUCAAAACAACGGUGAAAGGAGCACUCUACAGUCACAAAAUUAGAAAAGUCAUUUAUGUCUAAUGUUUACGCUAGAUAAACUGGAGAUCUUUGUGGUAGUUCAUUUCUAAAAGAUUAAGACCAUAACCAGUAAAGAAAUUGAGUCAGUAAUCAAAAAAAUCUCCCAACAAACAAGAGUCUAGGGCCAGAUGGCUUCCCAAGGGAAUUCUACCAUUUAUUUUUUUUGUUUGCUUUGUUUGUUUUGUUUUUUAAUUUUUUUUUUGUUUAUUUUUGAGAGAGAGAGCACAAGCCGGGGAGGGGUGGAGAGAGAAGGGGAGACACAGAAUUCAAAGCAGGCUCUGCCAGCUCAGAGCCUGAGGCUGGGCUCGAACUCACGGACCAUGAGAUCAUGACCUGAGCCGAAGUCGGAUGCCCAGCCACCGAGGUGGCCCUCUACCAAACAUUUAAAGAACAGUUAAUACCUGUCAUUUUGAAGCUGUUCCAAAAAAUAGAAAUGAAAGGAAAACUUCCAAACUCCUUCUAUGAGGCCAGCAUUAACUUGAUUCCCAAACCAAAGACCCUGCUAAAAAGGAGAAUUACAGACCAAUUUCCCUGAUGAACACGAACACAAAAAUUCUCAACAAGAUACUAGCAAAUCAAAUCCAACAAUACAUUAAAAAAACUAUUCACCAUGAUCAAGUGGGAUUUUUUCCCCUGGUCUGCAGGGGUGGUUCAAUAUCCACAAAUCAAUCAAUAUGAUACCUCACAUUAAUAAAAGAAAGGAUAAGAACCACAUGCUCCUCUCAAUAGAUAAAGAAAAAGCAUUUGACAAAAUACAUCAUCCUUUCUUGAUAAAAACCCUCAAGAAAGUAUAAGGAUAUAAGGAACAUACCUCAACAUUUUAAAGACCAUAUACAAAAUCAGCAAAUGGUGCUGGGAAAACUGGACAGCGACAUGCAGAAGAAUGAACCUGGACCACUCUCUGACACCAGACACAAAAAUAAACUCAUAAUGGAUGAACGACCUACAUGUAAGACAGGAAACCAUCAAAAUCCUAGAGGAAAAAACAGGCAACAACCUCUUUGACCUCGACCACAGCAACUUUUUAUUAGACAUGGCUCUGGAGGCAAGGGAAACAAAAGCAAACAUGAACUGUUGGGACCUCAUCAAGAUAAAAACAGUGAAGGAAACAAUCUGCACAGUGAAGGAAACAAUUUACAAAACUAAAAAGCAACCCACAGAAUGGGAGAAGAUAUUUGCAAAUAACAUCAGAUAAAGGGUUAGUAUCCAAAAUCUAUAAAGAACUUACCCAACUCCAUAUCAAAAAACAAAUAAUCCAGUGAAGUAAUGGGCAAAAGACAUGAAUAGACACUUUUGCAAGGAAGACAUCCAGAUGACUAACGGAUACAUGGAAAAAUGUUCAACACCACUCAUCAUCAGGGAAAUACACAAAACCACAAUGAGAUACCACCUCACGCUGGUCAGAAUGGCUAAAAUGAACAACUCAGAAAACAACAGAUGUUGGUGAGGAUGCAGAGAAAUGGGAACCCUUUUGCACUCGUGGUGGGAAUGCAAACUGGUACCGCCACUCUGGAGAACAAUAUGGAGGUGCCUCAAAAAAUUAAAAAUAGAGCUACCCUAUGACCCAGCAAUAGCACUACUAGGUAUUUAUCCAAAGGAUACAAAAAUGCUGAUCCAAAGGGGCACAUGCACUCCAGUGUUUAGAGCAGCGCUAUCAACAAUAGUCAAAGUAUGGAAAGGGCCCAAAUGUCCAUUGACUGAUGAGUGGAUAAAGAUGUCAUAUAUGUACAUACAUACAUACAUACAUAUACGUAUACAAAGGACUAUUACUUGGCAAUCAAAAAGAUGAACUCUUGCCAUUUGCAACAACGUGGAUGAAGCUACCAUGUAUUAUGCUAAGCAAAAUAAGUCAUUCAGAGAAAGAUAAAUAUCAGAUGAUUUCACUCAUAUAUGCAAUUUAAAACAUGAACAUAGGGGAAAGGAAGGAAAAAUAAGAUUAAAAACAGAGAGGGAGGCAAACCAUAUGGGACUCUUAAAUACAGAGAACAGAGGGUUGCUGGAGGGAUGUUGGGUGGGGGGAUGGGCUAAAUGGGGGAAUGGGCAUUAAAGAGGGCACAUAUUGGGAUGAGCACUGAGUCUUAUAUGUAAGUGAUGAACCACUAAAUUCUACUCCUGAAACCAUUAUUACACUAUAUGUUAACUAACUUGGAUUUAAAUAAAAUAAAAUAAAAUAAAAUGAAUAAAUAAGUAAAUGAUUAAGAGCAAGCUGUUGUUGUCUGGAAAAUUGCGGCAUGAUAGAGGCUUAAUAGGUGGCCCCGAGGUGUUUUAAAUUCUUAAAGGAAUGUUCAUGGAUAGACCUGUAACAGAGACUGAAAUCAAGGGCAGCAUUCUCUUUGCAAGAUAGUGUUUGCAGCUAUAAUACAGUACAAAUAAUGUCAGCCUGCUCCUUCCUGCGGUACUAGGCUUGAUUCUAAGGACCAAAUGUUAGUGAGACCCACGGAGAACUUUGGAAAAGAGGUUCUAACAGGAACUUCUUGUUGGAGACCAACAAAUCUGAUUAAAGAUUGGGAAACAAGAUAAGAAAGAAGCUGAUAUAAAGGACUUGGAUUUAUUUAGCUCUGGGAAAAACAAAGGUUGUUCUGAAUUGAUGGUAGCUGGUAUUUCUUCUUUUUAACAAAAAACUUUAAAAAUUUUUUUUAAAGUCCGUUUAUUUAUUGUGAGAGAGAAAGAGAGAGCCUGAGCAGAGGAGGGUAGAGAGAGAUGGAGAGAAUCCAGAGCAGGCUCCACACUGACAGGGUGUAGCCUGAUGCGGGGCUUGAGCCCACAAACCGUGAGAUCAUGACCUGAGCCGAGAUCAAGAGUCAGACGCUUAACUGACUGAGUCACCCAGGCGCCCCAACAAGAAAAAUAUUUUCAAUGUUUGUUUAUUUUUGAGAGAGCCUCAUUUGGAACCGAUGAGAGUCAUAACAAAGCCCACACUUUCAGCUAUGAGUCUUAAGGGAGGCAAGACCUCACUCCACCAACAAGCUGGGAACUUCACAGUUUUCCGAUGCUCAGCACUCAAGACCCUCACUCAUCCUCAUUUCCUUCCCACCUUUGGGAAUGUAUGAUUACGGAAAGGGAAUCAACAUAAGUCUCUAUAUUGAAUGUUCAUUUCAUUAAUUCGGCUAAUACUUAUGGAGCACCUACUUGUGCGAGGCACUGUUCUAGGUACCGGAGAAACCGGGGAGAGCAAGAGAGACCUAAAUCCCAUCUCCUUGGUAACUAGCUUCAUAGGGAGGCAGACAGCAAACCCAGCAAGUGAAUAGAUGAAAGAUAUGCCGUAUAGCUGCUAAUGUAUUUCGAAAACUUUCAAAAGAAUGUGAGUGUUGAGUAAGGUUCCCAGAAAGAGACCCAUUCUCUAAUCCUGCCCUUAGACUGAAGGGAGCACCACAGCUGCCCUGCAGGAUUGCAAGAUGCAUGCUUCUUCCCUUACAUGUAAAUCAAACGAGUGCGUGUUGGUUGCACAAACCAAAGGAUUGUCACUGCUUCCCGUCGUGUCAGGGAGUCCGGCUCCCCAAAUGCAAGAGUAAUAGCUGUGGUGGCUUCUUGAGCUGUCAGUAGGAAUGGCCCAUGCAUCACAUUAUCAAAGGAAAGGCCAUUCCUGCCCAGGGAUUCUGUGUUUCCCCAAAUAAAAGCAAGGCCAAAGAGACACGAGUUUUGUUUCUGAGAAAUAAUUGGUUUGGGGAUUUGAGUUUAUCAUCGUCUCUGUUCUCAUGCCCUGAUUUCAUCUUCAGGCCUUUCCACCCGCAACCCCCCCACUCUGAUUUCGGUCCUUGGGGGGUCAGAGUGAGCAGUGUUAGCUAGAGGAGGGCUUGGGAUUUGCUUUUGAUUUUGUUUUGUUUUGUUUUGAGAUCAUGGAAGAAUUUUGGAAGGAAGAAUGAUCAAAAAUAAACUUUUAAGAAUUAUACCAUGACUGUGGUCAUAACAUUUUCCACAAAUGAGCUAGAAAAUGGUCUAGAGUUGUUCUUUGUGCCCCAAACAAAACUGCAACAUUUUGUGUAGAUUUUGUAAAAAUAGUUGUAGGUGCACAGAUAGUUCUUCGUAAAUGCUUAUGAAUUGAAUGGAACUGUCUACGGUGCUCUGCAAACAAGUAUUAUAGAUUGAGCACUUCGCUCUGGAUGCAUUCCAAGAGUUGUUGUCACUGAAGGUUUAACUAUGUAAAGAUCAUAUGAUAGCCUCUACUUUCAUGGAAGCGGACUGCACUCUAAUUAAUACACCAGAAGCUGACUCACUUUGUUUUCUCAGGCACAGGGAGAGGAAGUGCCAUGUCUCCUCAGUUAUGACACUGCCAGCUGAUGUCUAGUUGCUUCUUUUUAUAAAAGGAGUAAGAAAAGAAACAGAAUUGAGAGCUAAAGCUGCAGAAACCUCAGAGAGAAUUCGCACAAGGAAGAAGCAACCCAGGGAAGUGACCCGCAUCGCCCAACUUCACAAAAUCUAGCAGCAUCUGACUUUCUCUUUUCUUCCCAUAGCAGAGGACAGGAGCCCCCAUCAUAACACAGGAACCCUUCCAAAUAUGCGUGGACAGCCUCUCUCCCAGGCUUCCCAGUGCCUAUUUCAGACCUUCCUAGCCUGUCUCUGUAUCUUCAUCCCUGACACCUUCCCCUCUGUACCCAGCAGAGACUCUAGCCUGUACCUCACAGACAGUGGAGAAAGCAGCAGAGGGAAAGCCUUCCCUUCAACACCAUCCCCCCAUCUUUCCCCUGGGCUCUCCUUAGACCACGGAAGAGGUGUCUUCCCUCCAGGCUCUGGCAAAGCCCUCCAACCCAUGUUCUAGAUCCCAUGCCUUUCCACAUCCUCUUUUAAUUUUAAUUUGCUCUUUUAAUGACCCAUACAUUUUCUUCUACUUUCUGCUCAGAUAGGAAUGUGCUCCAAUCUCUCUCAUCUUAAAAGAAAAGAAAAGAAAAAAGAAAAGAAAAGAAAAAAAGGAAAGGAAAAGAAAAGAAAAGAAAAGAAAAGAAAAGAAAAGAAAAGAAAAGAAAAAAGGAAAGAAAAUCCCUUGACUGCAUGAUUCCUCUAGUGAGGGACCUUCAUGCCAGCAGAGCCAGGGUUGUGGAGAAGGUGGCACUCACUGUCUCCCCUUCCAGACUCCCCUUUCCUUUUUACCUGUAGUCUACCUCCCCCACUCCACAGCCUUUCCUUCUCACUAAGGGCUCCAGUUCCUUCCUGGUCACUAAUCUAAUGGAUGUGUUUCAGUUCGUGCCUUCCUUGACCUCUCUGUGGCAUUGGGUACUCUUGUCUUCCCCCCAAACACUCUCCCAGUCCACAAAACCACUCUCUUGGAUUUCCUCUUAAUUCUUUGGCCACUCCCCAGUCUUCUUGGUUCUGUUUUCUCUUGUAAAUGUGGGAGCUCCCUGGGGAAUCCAUUCUGAUCUCUUAUCCUUUUUCUUUGCUGUUCCCAGAGUGAUUUUUUUGGGGAAAUCUAAUCAUUUCACUCCCCUUAAGGUCCUUCCAAAGGUUUCAAUAACCUUCUUCUGGGCAGGGCUUGCCAAAUAUCCCCUAACCAGAAUCGUGCCAGCUUUAUCUCUGACCCCUUUCCGAUAAACCCCUUUCCAAUGUUUCCUUUGUUUAGAGCACACUUUCUUCCCCCAUCUUCACCUAACAAAUUCUAAGGUUUUCUCCCAAAUCUAGGUACACAUUUCUACCAGAGGGUUUCUCAAUUUCUGUUGCAUUUAUCUGUUUUUCCCAGUAGGGUUUGAGUUUCUUAAGACAAGGACUCUAUUUUAUUUAUUUAUUCUUUUAAGUUCCACAUUCUCCUUGUCCAAAACACAAUACCUUCAUGAGGAAUAAAUGCGUUGGAUGAGUGAGUAAAUGAAAGCUCAUUCCUCUUGAUUCCAAGUCUAGCGUGUAAAUUAAGUUCAGGUCACACAGACUUUUCCUAUCAGAUCUGAGUACAAUGCUUCUAAACCAACUGCACAUAUCUCCACAAAAUAAAGGAUAUUGAUUUUCUAUCUACAAAAUAAAUGUAGCUCCUGUUGGGAGAAACGUGUUUGUUCUGGCCUUUCUGGUAGUAAUGGAAAUGAAUUACAACCUUGGGCAAAAGGGCAUCUCUCAGUCAAGGGGAAGUGGUCUGAUCUGGUGGGUAGAGAGGGCAUGUUGGAGGCAACAUUCUAUUUAUAGCUGGGGUUGACUCCUCCGGGCCACCGAGGUGUUGGGCAGGAAGGACUGACCUCUGUUCUCCUCUUUUCCAGUCCAUCCCUGACAUGAAGCUAGCAGAAGAAGGGGUUUGCUCUUCUAUUUUCAAACCAGACUUGUUUCCAAGUUAAAAAAGCAUUUUCUGAGAGAUGGAGGCCAGAGAGAUCUUCGCUAAGAUGGUAUUCCCAUGGAUGUUUCCGGUUUGGUUGAUGCAUCUCGGAAGUUCUUAUGUGCUCAUUAUGGGUUUGUGCUGUUUCCCUCACAAGAUACCAAUGUCUUUAAGAGUAGAAACCAUGUGUUUUUCUUUCUUUGUAUUGUCCCAAGCCAAGUUUAGCUGUCUACCUUUGGAGUGUUGGCUCACAGACCUUAAUAAUUGUUUAUGAGUAUAAUUACCACUCAUAAAGUAAAUACCUUGUUUUGAAAAGAAGUGCAAAAUAAUCAUAAAACCACCGUGGAGCAUUUAGAUUUCCAUGAUGGUGACAUAUAAGCUUCUCUUUGGAAUCCUGGAAAAUAUGAGAAGACUUGAAUCAGAAGCAAUACAAUCUCAUGCUAUAAGCUUUUAGAGCACAAUGACAUGAUUUUUCAAUCUAUUUCUAGGGCAAUAACUGAUAUGUUUUUAAAUUGUGGUAUAAUCUGCAGUGGACUAAUAUGGCAGUGAUGGAUUGCUUUCUG
rnacentral:lncRNA from 1 species